UGGGGAAUUUUGGACAAUGGGGGAAACCCUGAUCCAGCCAUCCCGCGUGUGCGAUGAAGGCCUUCGGGUUGUAAAGCACUUUUGGCAGGAAAGAAACGUCAUGGGUUAAUACCCCGUGAAACUGACGGUACCUGCAGAAUAAGCACCGGCUAACUACGUGCCAGCAGCCGCGGUAAUACGUAGGGUGCAAGCGUUAAUCGGAAUUACUGGGCGUAAAGCGUGCGCAGGCGGUUCGGAAAGAAAGAUGUGAAAUCCCAGAGCUCAACUUUGGAACUGCAUUUUUAACUACCGGGCUAGAGUGUGUCAGAGGGAGGUGGAAUUCCGGGUGUAGCAGUGAAAUGCGUAGAUAUGCGGAGGAACACCGAUGGCGAAGUCAGCCUCCUGGGAUAAAACUGACGCUCAUGCACGAAAGCGUGGGGAGCAAACAGG
rnacentral:rRNA from 1 species